rnacentral:lncRNA from 1 species
CCACAGAGGUCAAGAGAACAUCCCAUGCUCAUCGUACCAUCCGACUUUCAGCACUGAGCAACUGAGGGACAGGGAGUCUGGUGUGAAGGAUACUAGACACCCAGAGGCUGACAGUGACAGAGAGCCCACAGGUGGGAGCAGAGUGUGAGGAGGAGGAGGAGUGCUCACUCACAGACAUGGAAUCACUGGACUGUACCCCCAUGUCACCCUUGCUCUCACGCCAGCUUCCUCUGAACUCUGAUUCCAAUCGCUUGUCUUUGAGAAACUUCCUCUACCUCGGUAGACAACGUAAAAGAUGGUGGCUUUCGAUACUACGCACGGCCUCACUAGGGAGUGACUGAAAGUUCAAAGUCCCAGACAUGGCCUUGGUGGCCUUUGCUAGGGCCAGAAUUCCUUGGAGAGUGCUCUUUGCAACCAAACGGAAGAACAAAAGGACAAUUCUCAGAAGCACACCAAAAACGAAACCAAAUAAAAACCCCAUAAAAAAUCCCUAUGGGGUGGCUUGACUUGGGAAACUGGUCCGUUGGAUGACUGAAGGGAACCCACACCAUGAGCACACUCUCCAGUGAGUCAAUGAUUAUUCUGCUCCAGCCACUGAGGCAAUAGAGACGUUGACUUCCACUCUAGCCGAUGAGGGCUCAGGUGAGGAAGAGAGAAGAAGAGUGAGGAAGCUGGCUUUAACUCCCUGUGUCAGAGUUCAGCCUCCUACAGGCCUCUUGGAACGUUUGCAUUGUACAUGCCCGGCUCAUUAAUGAAAACGUUGUUUCAUAAGACUGAAAGCAAAGGCGCUAAGGAAACCAAGAAUGAAGUGGCAGAUAUGGGCCAUCAUCUUUGAGGGUGUGAAAGAAGAUUGGAGACCCUAUCUUGGUGGUCUUCUUUAGCUUGGACCAUGUGGUUAGUAUUUCAAAACCCUU